rnacentral:misc_RNA from 1 species
UGUGGGAGCGGGCUUGCUCGCGAUGGCAGCAACGCGGUUUAUCCUUAAAACUGCGGUAGCUGCAUCGCGAGCAAGCCCGCUCCCACA